rnacentral:rRNA from 1 species
CACGUAGGGCGCAAGCGUUGUCCGGAAUUAUUGGGCGUAAAGAGCUCGUAGGCGGUUUGUCGCGUCUGCCGUGAAAGUCCGGGGCUCAACUCCGGAUCUGCGGUGGGUACGGGCAGACUAGAGUGAUGUAGGGGAGACUGGAAUUCCUGGUGUAGCGGUGAAAUGCGCAGAUAUCAGGAGGAACACCGGUGGCGAAGGCGGGUCUCUGGGCCGAUACUGACGCUGAGGAGCGAAAGCGUGGGGAGCGAACAGG